rnacentral:lncRNA from 1 species
UGUGCAACCCUCCCCAAUAUUACCCACAGGGGAAUCAUCUCCCUACCCUAGUUUUUCUUACUUACUCAUGGCCGGAAAGUUGUUAUUAAAAUUUAUCUGGCAAUCACACCAUGCGACAGGAAACUCGUCUGCCAGCCAGUGCCAGCCGCAAUCAGUAUAGUCGCGUGGUUUGGCGAAGUAGAUUGCUGUUCUAUGUGCUAAUGCUGUUCGGUGUGCUACUGUUUUUGUGCGCUGGUGAAGGUGAUUGUUGUUAAGGUUCAUGUUUAUUCUGUAACCACCAGAGGAAAAAUUCAUGAAUACAUGGAAAAGACGUUCGAAUUCCGUGAUAGAGAGAGCACAUUUUGAUUUACGUCAGCGAGUGAAAUUCUUUUGGAAUAUCCCCGGUUUAUUGAUGUUGAAGAAGGAUCGCUGAUUCUUCUUGACUUUCAUCGUAAAUAUCCGGACACGCAUUAUUCAUUACAAAUGCGCUUCCUUAAACGUUUUUCUACUUCCCUGACGUUGUUGGCUAAAAGGCAAAAAAUAGAUGUUCCCAAUUCAGCUGAUGAUUGUCUGAAAUCACUAGCUUUGUGUUUGAAGUUGAUGCCGUCCGUCUACAAAAUAAAAAAAGCAUCAUUUGAAUCAAAACUAGAUCGGAUGUUUCACUUCGUGAAGCAAAACGCUUCGAUUGCAGAGGCUGUGAAAGGAAAGGAUGCUGUCCACCACAAACAGCCCUACCUUAUUGUUCUAGGAUCUUUUGAGCAUCCUUUGUUCUUAAACUUAGUUGUGGACCAAACUGUUAUUCCACUUGGCCCAGACUGCCAGAGGGCUUUUAAUAUUUUGUUCGCAUCCUUUUGAAUUUUCAGGCUUGAAUAUCCAACAUACCUGGAUAAAUUUUUUCUUUUUUUUUGAGCAAUUUGUGUAUCAGGUAUUUUUAGGAGAAGACUGUUAUACAAUUUCUUCUUCAAAUCAAGAUUUCGCCAAUGUGCUUGACGAUAUCGCUUCAAAAAAUAUGUCUGGUGCUGUUGGUGAUGUUUAGCAUAGUUGCUUUUGAGGACGUUUGAAACAUUCAUCAAACUUUACCCGAGUUUUACUUAAAGUAUUUCAUAAUGUUAUGUAAUUCUCGAUGGAGAUUUUGUGUGCUUCUUGUUUGUAAUAAAAAUUUUCAAUCUCA